CUCCGGGAGGGAGGGAGGGAGGGAGUGGCGCGCGCACGCCGAGCGCGCCCCCGCGCACACUCCCCAGGAGGAGGGGAAACUCCUUCCUUUCCUUUCCUCCAGCAAAAAGAGGAGAGAGGAAACUUUGGGCAUGUGGGGAGAGCUGGGGAAAAGAGGAGAAUGGGACGUGGAUAAUUAUACAGCCGUGGGAGAUCAUGAGGAAUUCCAGACACCAAACAAUCAGGGCCAGCUAACACCUCCCAACGAAAGAUUUCCCCCCAGGCAAGCUUUGAAGCUGCAAGGCCAUUCAAUGCUAAUCAAGCUGGCCAAUUGCAACAUAGAACCCUAAGAAAUAAUGACAUUGAUAAGGUAAAGGUAAAGGUUUUCCUCUGACGUUAUGUCCAGUCGUGACCGACUCUGCCGGCAUUGUCUGCAGACACCUCCAAGGUCAUGUGGCCGGCAUUGUCUGCAGACACCUCCAAGGUCAUGUGGCCGCCAGCAUGACUGCAUGGAGCGCCGUUACCUUCCCGCCAGAGCAGUACCUAUUUAUCUACUCACAUGUUUUUGAACUGCUAGGUUGGCAGGAGUGACAUUGAUAAACCUAGGAGCAAAAUAAUAAUAAUAAUAAUAAUAACUUUAUUUUUAUAACACGCCCCAUCUCCCCGAAGGGACUUGGGGCGGCUUACAUGGGGCCUUGCCCGACACAACAAUAUAAUAACAGCAACAAGACAAUAAAACAAGUAUCCCAACAAUAAAACAUCAGCAUCAAUAAAACAGUCGUAAAAAUCAACAUACUGCAUAAAAUGUUAAAAACAGGAGACUAAUACACGGAUCUGGGCCAAAGUGCAGAAUAUUUCAAAAUGGGGAGAGGUAGUUUCACAGCUAAAAUAGUCAAAGUGCAAUGUAAUAAUUGCAAAGCAUCAGCGAUGGAGCUAUUGUUGAAUGGGCAGAUAAAUCGAACCUACAACGAUUAAUCAUCGAAGGCCUUUUAGAAGAGCCAGGUUUUUAGGCUCUUCCAGAAGGAGAUGAUUGUGGGGGUCUGCCUGAUCUCUCUGAUACUGUAUUUAUGAAUUUAGCACCAAAAUAUCACGAUAUAUUGAAAACAUUGACUACAAAAAUGCCUUGGAUUAUCCAGAGGCUUGGAUAAGCGAGGCUUGGAUAAGUGAGACUCUACUAUAUAUCGUGAUAUUUUGGUGCUAAAUUCAUAAAUAUAGUAAUUACAACAUAACAUUACUGCGUAUUGAACUACUUUUUCUGUCAAAUUUGUUGUAUAACAUGAUGUUUUGGUGCUUAAUUUGUAAAAUCAUAAUCUAAUUUGAUGUUUAAUAGGCUUUUCCUUAAUCCCUCCUUAUUAUCCAAGAUAUUCGCUUAUCCAAGGUUCUGCCGGCUCAUCUAGCUUGGAUAAGUGAGACUCUACUGUAUAUUAUAAUAAUAUAUAAUAAUGCAAUACAAUUAAAAUAAUAUAAUUAUAGUAUAAUACAUUUAUAUACAUUAUAAAAUAAACAUCCAGUUUCUUCUUUCCUUCCCUCUUCCCUUCAGUUUCAUUUCCUUCUUCCAAUUGUAUUUCCUUCUAUCUUCCCUCAAGUUUAUUAUUUCCUUCUCUUUUCCCUUCAGUUUCACUUCCUUCUUCCUAUUGUAUUUCCUUCCCUCUUCCCUCAAGUUUAUUUAUUUAUUAUUUAUUUACAGUAUUUAUAUUCCACCAUUCUAACCCCUAAGGGGACUCAGGGCGGAUCACAUUGCACAUAUAAGGCAAACAUUCAAUGCCUUGACAUAGAACAAAGACAGAGACAAACGCAGGCUCCGAGCUGGCCUUGAACUCAUGACCUCUUGGUCAGAGUGAUUGGUCUCAGCUGGCUGUAGCUGGCUGCUUACCAGCUGCGCCACAGCUGGGCCAGUUUAUGUCCUUCUCUCUUCUCCUUUCCUUUUCCACCCCUCCAUUUUAUUACUUCCUUCUCCCUCCAGUUUUCCAAUCCCUCCCUUCCCAUUUUUCUGCCAAACUAGCAGUUCGAAAACAUGCAAAUGUGGGUAGAUCAAUAGGUACCGCUCCGGCGGGAAGGUAACGGCGCUCCAUGCAGUCAUGCCGGCCACAUGACCUUGGAGGUGUCUACGGACAACACCGGCUCUUUGGCUUAGAAAUGGAGAUGAGCACCAACCCCCAGAGUUGGACAUGACUAGACUUAAUGUCAGGGGAAAACCUUUACCCUCCAUUUUAUUAAUUUUUUUAUUUAUUUACUUACAGUAUUUAUACUCCGUCCUUCUCAUGCCGAAGGGGACUCAGAGCGGCUCAAAUUGCACACAUAUGGCAAACAUUCAGUGCUGAUUAUACAGUUAUCAAGGACAGACAACACAGACGAAGCCAUGCACCAGAGCUCCAGCAGAUGUCUUAACUACUCUAAGUGAGAACAGAAAUUGGAGACAUUACUCUGUUUGGAUUGCAGCUCCCAGCACACUCCAGCCAGCAUGGUCAGUGGUCAUCCUGACUAAAGGGUUCCAGCUCAACAAAGGAACUUUUCCAUGUUCUGCCCUGUAUAUAGAAAGAAAAAAGGGAAGGAGAGGGAAAAAGUGGCAACACCUGUUAGAUGAACUUGUUAUUAUUUUAGCAUGAGCAAAGUAAACACCUCAGCAAGUGAGAGUCCAAAAGUGGCAGGCUAAAACCCGGAACCCAUGGCUGAUACCAAAUGAGAGACUCCCUCCUAGGCACACAGAAAAAUGGGUGACUUGGAAGACACUGAACAGACUGCACCACGAGACGCAGAGCCAACCUUAAGAAAUUGGGCAACAAAGUAGAGUCCACAACAUGAGAGUAUGGAGAAGAGCAAACCACAGACGACCUGUUACAAUGCAGUCUGAGCCCAGCUACAUGCAUCAUGGAGGACCUUCUUACAGCAACACCAGAGUCACUCCAAGUGGCCAGCUACUGGUCAAAGGACAUUCAGCAUAAUGCCAUGUUUUUAACACAUUACAAUGUACCCUCGUUUCGCUUAUGACACAAUAAAUAAAAUAAGCAUGAACUUUCAAGUGUGCUUGUAUCCAUGAAAGCUCAUAAUAAAACAACUAGUUACUGUUAAA